rnacentral:lncRNA from 1 species
CUAGGACAUUCUAGAUGCUCAAAUUCUGUUGACUAUAUUAAUGAAAGCAUGCAGUUUUUCAAACAUAAUUCCUCAAAUUCUUCUGCAGUUGGCAUGGGUAGGAUAGGAAAUAAGACAGGAUGUGUAAGUGUGUUGAAAAUAGGAAAAGUGACUUAAGCUGGUACAGUUGGGCUCUAGUGCCCACUUGUACUUCAAUUAGAGCAACUCAACGUACAUUAGCUUUGCAUUUGGAGGUUAGUGUAAGUUUUCAUGGAAAAAGCAUGCAUUUUACAUCAGAUGGACCAUUAGUUUUAAUAUGGAACAAUGUAUGAGCUUUGGAAAAAGACCACUUAUUUAAGCUCUAUGAAUGAGGCAAGUGAGGUGCCCGGACACAUGUUUAAGGUGGUACUCGUUUUGAGGGUCACUUAUUUGACUUACCCUGUAGCCAAACUGGACUUCAGACCUUUCUCCAAUAUCUUUUGUAUUCUUUCUACCAAACUCUAUUCUCCUUUCCAAUUAAACCUAAGGAAUGCCUUCUUAGAAUAUAAGCUUUUCUGCAGUCACCCAACAAGAGUCUAUCUCUCCCCCCACUCUGAACUCCAAUGGAUCUUUGAUUUACACUUUUCAGACUUAACCCUUUCUGUUAAUAAUAUAAUAAUCCUGCCUGGCUACCCAUCUUAGCUCAUACAUAUCUUAGCUCACUUACUUGAUACAAGCUCUCUCUGGCAUAGGAUUAUAUUUAAUUUGAAUUUACAUGAUCCUCUACAUCUAAUAUGGUGAUUUUCAUAUGGUAGCUUUGCCAUAAAACAGUUGAACAUUUAAUGAAUAUUCUUCCUAUUUGGAGGGAAUAGCAUAGUUCUUAUAUGUGGAUCUCUAGAGGUUGCUACUUCAGCGUGUGGAUUGAAUCUGUUUUCAAAUCUCCAGUAACUCAUUGUAUUUUUUUAAUUGUUUCUCCUUAGAGAAGUGUUUAUUCAUUUUGAGUCAAAACACCUUAGGAAGUCAUAGUUCUCUUUCUACUUUAGUGAAGCACUAAGUGGGUCUGUCCCCUUUAACACCAUGUAAGUGCCUCCAUACCCUGGCUUGUCCUCCUUCUGCUGUCCCUAUGGCCUCUUCUAAUUGUCUGUUCUCACAUGUUCAUGGAUCCUUGGUUUUGUCUUCCUGGCAAUGGCUACCCGUAAUCUGCUUUGUAUUUGCUGUCUUGCUCGAAUGAGGAUGAGAGUUCUGUCUUUACCCCCUCCCCCCAAGCUGUGUUCUGCCUUGUAAAUUAAAACACUCCUCCUAUUGCUCAGUCCUGGGAUUUGGUGCUAGGCAGCCCCUGCUGCUUACAGUAAUUAAUGGAUUCUUAGGUCUAUACCUGUUUCUGUGCUUACUACAAUUCAAGACAGGCCUUUCAUUACCAACUGAACCUAACUAUUGGAAAUGGAAGCAGGGAACUCUGUAGAAGCAAGCUGCUUCCAAAUGAAGGAGGGUAUGGGCACCAGGAAGCACCACUCCAAUUGAGCUGGCCUGCCUAGCACUCACUUUUCAGAGAUGUGUACUGUUUCUCAUUCAUGUCAGGAUAUCUAUCCACCAGAGUAAUUCAGAACUUAAUAAGAUUGAGGUAUGUCUCAUGUGGGUCCUUCCACAUCUGUUCCUCUCUUGACAUAGAUCUUUAGUACUCUCAGAGCCAUGAGUUUAGAUGCCAAAUUUAAAAUUCACACACUCGUGCCAUCUGAGAACGAGUCUUAAAAAAAAGAAACCCAGACAAAAAACAAAACAAAAAACUUCCAGCAACCAGAUUUUUUUUAAAAAAAACAAGCAAAACAAAUACUGCCCCCACCUCCCCUCACAAGCUCCCUGAAAAUCACAGCUGCUUAGCCAAUGAUAAAAUAACCGACUUGGCAAAAAGACAAGUGAUUCGGUUAACCCAAAAUUGUUUCCUUUCAGAGUAAAAGACAUGUAACCAAUAUCCAGCUACUCUAACCGUAAGCACUGGAUAGCUUUAAUUGUACAUGUUAGUGUACUUUAAUAAACUUAAAUUGCGAUGCUAAGAGGGGUUAUUUUAUUGUAUAUUUUGUGGAUUGAUAUUGAUAGCUAUUUCACUGUUUUUGCUUCAGCCCACUAUGAAAACUGGAUAUUGAAUCAGCUAGAAAAAUGAAUUCCUUACUGAGCAUUUCAACUUCAACUUGGGUUCCGAGUGGAUUAAACGUAUGAUGUUGUAACACUGUUAUCUGCCUGACAGGAAAUGCAUAGAGACACCAGGCCUUGCUUCUUAAACUUCGAGAAGCCUCAGCUAGCAAAUUGCCACUUAUUAGCUUGUCUCACCUAUAAAAGAGCCAUGGAAGAGACUCGCAGAGAACGGAAGUGAUUUCCUGAUGACAGCAGGGGGUGCUCUCACUAGACUGAAGGACAGCUACGUUCUCAGAGCAGUGGGAAAGGAAUAACACAUUGCCUUACUAAGACUCUCUAUGAGACUUUAGAAGUGCCUAAUACCUGCCUGGAGCAAAAGAAUUAAUAUGCUCUAUUCCACAGCUCUGCCAUCUUCAACUUUGAUAAAUACUUAAAAAUGUGUUUUUAAAAAGUCAUUAACUUCUGGAAUAUAGGAUUCAGCCAUCAUACUUAGAAUGUGUGAAACUGUAGUGCGAUUUGUAACAGGAUGUAUACCACAUUUUUAAUCAGGGAAUUGUGUUUCUUAAAGCUAAAAGACCUGUAGUGAAUUAAGGCAUUCAGCUCAGCCAGAUAUUCCAAUCAUUAAAUGAUCGAAGAGGAAAUCUAUAGAAUCUUAUUACAAACUUACAAGAAGGAUAACUGUGGGUCUCAGCCAUAAACUGUAGUAAUACAGAUGAACUGGACACAUAUGUUGCACAAUAGGUGAUUCAGAGCAAUAUAGCCUAUGCUGUUUUAUGAUAUGGAAAGCAAUCAAAUCUUAUUUGCAAAAAAUUCAGAUCAAUUGAAUUUUAAUGAGAAGCAGGUGCUGGAGUGUAGCAUCCACAAAGAAUUCUGGGAAUGUUUAAAAUUAGUCCCAUAUUUGCCAGGAGACAGUUGGGUACAUAAACUUUUUUAUUUCUUGAUUCAUGGGUCUGUUCGGACUGUAGAUUGCUCUGCCAUUCUGAGUUCAGCAAUUUGAAUAAAUUAUGCUGAAAA